GUAGUCCACGCCCUAAACUAUGAUCACUCGUUGUUGGCGAUACACAGUCAGCGACUAAGGGAAACCAUUAAGUGAUCCACCUGGGGAGUACGACCGCAAGGUUGAAACUCAAAGGAAUUGACGGGGGCCCGCACAAGCGGAGGAGCAUGUGGUUUAAUUCGAUGAUACGCGAGGAACCUUACCUGGGCUUGAAAGUUAGUGACCGCUCCUGAAAGGGAGCCUUCCGCAAGGACACGAAACUAGGUGCUGCAUGGCUGUCGUCAGCUCGUGCCGUGAGGUGUUGGGUUAAGUCCCGUAACGAGCGCAACCCCUAUCAUUAGUUGCCAUCAGGUAAAGCUGGGGACUCUAAUGAGACUGCCCGCGCAAGCGGUGA
rnacentral:rRNA from 1 species